AUCCCUAAAACCCUCUGCCCUAACUGUUUCCCUCUCUAACGAAGGAGAGGUGCACUACGGCGUGGUGGAAUAGAGUCCGGCAAAGUCGAUAGCCUCUGGUGAAAAGCAAGUUCUCUCCGGUGAAUCCAAGGUACACAAUGUAAUCAGCAAGUGUGAAUGAUAGCAUCUGAGGUUCAUUUCUGAAAUUCAUGAAUAUUGUAUGCUACUGUCAGAAGAGGGCUCUUGUUAGAACAUCCGAGAAUGUUAAUAGCAAACACAGGUUGUAUUAUUGCUGUCCCAAUGCACCUCAUGGAUGUAGAUUCUUUUCUUGGUGUGACAUUGUUGAAGAACCAAGAGUAAAUCUUGUUACCAAGGACAACAUCAACCCAACCUUUCAUAAGAUAGAUGUUAGUGAGAUAAGUCAAAAAAAUCGGCAAAUGAAGGAAGAGAUUUGUAUCCUGAAGAAAAGAAUGAAGAAAUUUGAGAAUUCUGUUGGGACACUAUAGAUUGUAAUAGUUUUGUUUGUGGUGGUCGUUGUAGUCAUGUUUAUGAGAAAAUGAAUAAUUAGGGAAGAUGAUAUAUUAGUUGUAAUUCCCCCCCCCCUUUUUUUUUUGUUCCCCCUUUUUCCCUAACCAUUGAAGGAGUACAUUUUGGGUUUAUAUCAAUGGUUUUAUUAUGUUCAAACUCGUCUGUAGCAAUUGAGUAUUUGGUUACUUUAAUCAAAUGGGUUGCAUUUCUUUU